UAUGUAUUCCCUUCGUUCCACAAUACAUGCCUUUCAUUUAUCAAAAUAUAGAUGUAUCUAAACAUGUUCUAAUAUAUAGGUACAUCCAUUUUUGAACAAAUGGAAGUCAAGUUGGAACAGAGGGAGUAGUUU
rnacentral:pre_miRNA from 1 species